UACGGAGGGGGCUAGCGUUGUUCGGAAUUACUGGGCGUAAAGCGCACGUAGGCGGCUUUGUAAGUUAGAGGUGAAAGCCCGGGGCUCAACUCCGGAAUUGCCUUUAAGACUGCAUUGCUAGAAUUGUGGAGAGGUAAGUGGAAUUCCGAGUGUAGAGGUGAAAUUCGUAGAUAUUCGGAAGAACACCAGUGGCGAAGGCGACUUACUGGACACAUAUUGACGCUGAGGUGCGAAAGCGUGGGGAGCAAACAGG
rnacentral:rRNA from 1 species